ensembl:lncRNA novel transcript
ACUAAGCAGAAGAAAUCCAAGUCGGCUGAAUUUCUGAUGGUUAAAGAAGAUAGAGAAGCUACAGAAGGCACUGGAAAUCCAGCUUUUAACAUGAGCAGUCCAGAUCUCUCAGCAUGUCAGACUGCAGAAAAGAAAGUUAUUAGACACGACAUGCCGGAUCGCACCCUUGCAGCUCACCAACAAAAAUUCAGGCUGCCAGCCUCUGCAGAACCAAAAGGAAAUGAAUACGGCAGAAAUUACUUUGACCCACUGAUGGAUGAGGAAAUAAACCCAAGGCAGUGUGCGACGGAGGUCAGCAGAGAAGAUGACGAUAGAAUUUUCUAUAAUCGAUUAACGAAGCUUUUUGAUGAGAGCAGACAAGGAGAACCCCAAGAUGAGAGUGGCCGGGAGGAGACUCUGAAUUCUGAAGCACCUGGGAGUUCCAAUAAGAGUCACGAAAUCCACAAAGAAGCCAGCGAAGCCACCACUGCUCACCUUGAGGAGUUCCAAAGAUCUCAGAAAACUAUAAUUCUGCUUGGAAGUUCUCCAUUAGAACAGGAAAUUAGAUCUACUUCAUUGCAUUGUAUGGAGGAUGAGAUGAGUCAUCCAUGGAUACUCUUGCUCAAAGUAACUGCUGUAAUCAGAAGCAGGAGGUACUAUAGAGAGCAAAGAUUCUAAAACCCAUUCUCAGGCCAGACUCCAAACAUCUAGGAAUGAAAAAUGCCCAUGGGCAUAAGUGUCCUGAACAUUCUUAUGGAUUUGGGAUUUGAAAUUCGAAGGGGAAGGCCUCAACGAAUACAUUCCUAUGUCACUUUUAAAGACUGGUAAAACAUUUGAGAAAACUCCAAGUCAACCAUUCAUUGCAGACCUAAAUAUUUGUAAAAAGGACAGUGCAGCCCAGCUUGGUACCCUCACAGAAGUAACUAAUGACUCAAAGGGAGCAGCAGGACCCCGCUGGAAGUUCCUGCGUAAUUCAAGAACCCCACCUUUUGUGGAAAAUGAGCAGUCUCAACCACCUCAGCCUCUGCAAAUCCAGAUCAGAUGCCUGAGGGGCCUUAAAGACAAGGCUCCUCCAGGCUCUUAUGUCCUCAAAGUGUCCAAGUGUCCCUGCUUGGUCGACUGGGAGGCUGUGUCUUGCAGUGGUGGCAAACGGAGCAACUAAAGACCAGAAAACACUCCGUCAGGCACAAUGGAAACUUUUAUGAUGUGGGGGUGUAUUUCCACGAAAACCUUUAUGUGGUGCUCCCUCAAAGGAAAAAUGUGAGCCCUGGCAUGGUUUCUUGUUUGAACUCUUUCUUCUUCGUGGAACAUACACUUGCCUGGACCGGGCUGUGGGCUGAGCAGUGUUCCCUUUGUGUAAUAACAACUUUGAUACAGUGGAGGGAAAAUUUAAGUGUCCCCUUCUAUGAGGACAUUAUGACCAGAAACUCAGUAACUUUAGGAAAAUUGAAGAUUUGAUUUGCCUGGACUUGGACCACUGGCUGUGCAAUCUCUAUUUUCAGGUCAUUAAACUUCCUUUGCAUUUUGAUGGUCAAAAAAAUCAUGAAA